AUUGAACGCUGGCGGUAGGCCUAACACAUGCAAGUCGAACGGUAACAGGAAACAGCUUGCUGUUUCGCUGACGAGUGGCGGACGGGUGAGUAAUGUCUGGGACACUGCCUGAUGGAGGGGGAUAACUACUGGAAACGGUAGCUAAUACCGCAUAACGUCGCAAGACCAAAGAGGUGGACCUUCGGGCCUCUUGCCAUCGGCUGUGCCCAGAUGGGAUUAGCUAGUAGGUGGGGUAACGGCUCACCUAGGCGACGAUCCCUAGCUGGUGUGAGAGGAUGACCAGCCACACUGGAACUGAGACACGCUCCAGACUCCUACGGGAGGCAGCAGUGGGGAAUAUUGCACAAUGGGCGCAAGCCUGAUGCAGCCAUGCCGCGUGUAUGAAGAAGGCCUUCGGGUUGUAAAGUACUUUCAGCGGGGAGGAAGGGAGUAAAGUUAAUACCUUCGCUCAUUGACGUUCCCCGCAGAAGAAGCACCGGCUAACUCCGUG
rnacentral:rRNA from 1 species